CGCUGGCGGCGUGCCUAACACAUGCAAGUCGAACGGAACUGCAUAUGAAGAUUUUCUUCGGAAAUGAUUCGCUUGUAGUUUAGUGGCGGACGGGUGAGUAACGCGUGAGUAACCCUGCCCUUUGAGAGGGGGAUAACGUUUCUGAAAAGGACGCUAAUACCGCAUAACAUAUAUUUAUCGCAUGGUAGAUAUAUCAAAACUCCGGUGCUCAAGGAUGGACUCGCGUCCGAUUAGUUAGUUGGUGAGGUAACGGCUCACCCAAGACGACGAUCGGUAGCCGGACUGAGAGGUUGAACGGCCACAUUGGGACUGAGACACGGCCCAGACUCCUACGGGAGGCAGCAGUGGGGGAUAUUGCGCAAUGGGGGAAACCCUGAACCGCAGCAACGCCGCGUGGAUGAAGACGGUUUUCGGAUUUGUAAAGUCCUUUUCUGAGGGACGAAGAAUUGACGGUACCUCAGGAAUAAGCUCCGGCUAACUACGUGCCAGCAGCAGC
rnacentral:rRNA from 1 species